ensembl:lncRNA
CUCUGACCGGAGCACUCACUGCUUUUCCAAGGGGCCAGGCUCGUGCUUCUAGGGGCUGACCAGUGAUGUUGUCACUCGGCGUGGUCCGCCUGUCUUCAUGUACAGUGCCACCCAAGAAGGCUUCUUCUCACCCAAGGAUCGAACUUGGGACCUUCUGCUUGUGAGGCAGAUGGUGGAACUGUAAGACCGAGGGCCUUACCAAAUGCUCUGAGGAGCUGACUGUAGUGAAGCACACCCAGGGAUCCCAGCGGUGCCUCCAGAAUGUAAGACCGAGGGCCUUACCAAACGCUCCGAGGAGCUGACUGCAGCGACGAACACCCGGGAAGGAACACACCGGACACGUUGGAAAAUGGUUGCGAUGUAUCCAGGCAGAAUGUCCAGCCACCUUCACCGCCAAGGGAGCUGACAGGACAGCAGGAACCGGUCCCUUCCAACGAGGUUCCAGGGUCUUGGAAUCAAACCUCCGGAGGUUUUCUGAGGUCUGUGCCUGAGUCUCCUGCUGGAUCCCGCCACAGAGUCUUGGCUGAACGGGGGUCCCUUACCCGGGGAUCUCGCUGGGGCCUCCAAAAUGUAAGACUGAGGGCCUUACCAAACGCUCCGAGGAGCUGACUAUAGUGAAGCACACCCAGGGAUCCCAGCGGUGCCUUCAGAAUGAAAGACCAAGGGCCUUACCAAACGCUCCGAGGAGCUGACUGCAGCGAAGAACACCUGAGAAGGAACACACCGGACACGUUGGAAAGUAAAACAGACCUUUAUUAGUCUGGCCAGACGGCACUCCCAAAGCAAAAUAGCUUAGAGAGGCAGCUAGCUCAGAGUCCGAGGCUGUUUUUAUAGGGGGUUGAGGGGGAGUUAACAUAUAGAAUUAAAGAAAAGGGGACAAAGGUUAGUGGUCGACUGUCACGUAUUGAUGGUCAGCAGACAUUUGCAGCUUGUUCUAAAAAUUGUGGUGCUCGGAACAUCAGUUCCGGGCAAACAAGGAAUUGAGUAGUUUACUUUGGGACUUUAGGUCUGUUACAGAUUUUUAUCUAGUGUCCCAAAACUAACAAGCAUCUUUAUCUCUUAACUCACAUUUAAUCACAAUGGGGCUGGAGAAAAGGAACAAAGGUUAUGCAGUCCCACAGAACCACUGAGCUAAAUCCCCGGCCCUGAAAUGUUUUGAAUACGACCAUGUGUGAUACAUACAAGUAGAUCAGAAUAUUCUAAAAUGAUUCCACAGGUCUCUAGGAUCAUUGACAGUGAGUGAAGAGAAUCUAACAGUAAUAGCAGCAGCUAAUAUUCAUUCAGUGUUUGGUUUGUGCCAAGCACUAGGUCCUGGUUCUGAGUGCUUCCCUGUAAGAUCUCAUGUAACCCUCACCUCAAGGCAAUGAGGUGGGAACAGUUAUGGUACCCUUGUGUAUGUGGGGCCCCUGGACACUUGGAGGUUAAGUGCCUUGCUCCUGGUCACCUGAUGAGUCUGUCUGGCCCCCUAGCCUACGGUCUUUACCUUCCCCUUCGAGGCUCGUUGUCAUUCAGUCUGUAUCCUUUGAUACAUUAUAUAUGGAAACAUAAUAAAAUGACCUAUGUAUACUC